AAGUCGUAACAAGGUUUCCGUAGGUGAACCUGCGGAAGGAUCAUUACAGUAUUCUUUUUGCCAGCGCUUAAUUGCGCGGCGAAAAAACCUUACACACAGUGUUUUUUGUUAUUACAAGAACUUUUGCUUUGGUCUGGACUAGAAAUAGUUUGGGCCAGAGGUUUACUGAACUAAACUUCAAUAUUUAUAUUGAAUUGUUAUUUAUUUAAUUGUCAAUUUGUUGAUUAAAUUCAAAAAAUCUUCAAAACUUUCAACAACGGAUCUCUUGGUUCUC
rnacentral:misc_RNA from 2 species